UUGAAUAAUUAUAAAAAUGAAGAAUCAAGACAACAAACUAUAUAAUGUUUCGAAACAGCAGUGAAGGCCGUCAAGGUCAGUCGCUGUCGUUUUAUCAUAAUGGCAAUAACAAUUAAUUAGAUUUAUCACGAUCAUUAUUUUAAUAACAUGAGGAGCAUGUUGGACAAUUAAUAGUUUAACUAGAAAUGUUUAAAAGAAUCUGUCGCCUGUUCAAGAAAUCAAUUUCUAAUCAUAACGGUUGAAGCUUUUAAGGGGCGCAGUCGAUUGAUUAUCACUCUCAGAAAAAAAAAAUGUCCUUAUUAGAUGGCAAUGCUUUUCAUUCGUGUAUCAAACUUCUUAUGGUGACAUGCGCCAAGAACAAGGUGAAAUUGGGCAGUGAACAAAACUGAAUAUUGUUGAAAAACGCAAGGUGCUAGCUUCUAUCAUGUAUAUGGUUCAUUGGUUGGUCCAUUUCUUCUGCUUCAUUAAUGAAUCUACACAUACGUCUAUGGUCCCUCAGGUCCUCACUGGUCCAUCAACAUAAAAGUUUUUUGAGUCAAUGAAUUUUCUGUAGGACCUUUAAUUUGAAAAAGAUAGGCGACCAAUCGGGGCAAUUGCAUCAUUUAUACAUUUUGUGAAAAAGCUCGAGCACUGAAAAGCAGACUAAUUUCUCAUAUGAGUUUCCACUUUCUAAGUAGCAUAUAGCCGACCGCUAGGUCCAUUACCCACGUAAUAUUUCUCUAUAUGUGAAGAACUGCAUUAUAUCUGACGUCAUUAAUCAAUUAAUUGCCACACACAUUGCACGACGUAGAAAAUGUCUUCUUUUGAGAUUUUCAGCGCAAUUGGUGGACUCAUACGCCAUCCACGUGGGAGCAACAUAAAGAAAAAUAAAGAAAUUUUGAGUUUUAAAUGAAAUUUCAUUUAUAUCUUCAAAGUCUUUAGGUUUUAGUUAUACAUUUACUCAACGUUUAGUUAGAUGGGUAAUUUUUAAAAACCUCCCCUGAGGUUUGGGUUUGUUGCAAGUAGAUUGUGAGAAUUGGUUUAUUUGUAACCGUCAGUUAAUUUUAACAUUGACCGUUAGUUGACUGUGCAAAGACAAUAUUAUCCUUAAUAAUAAUUUGUAGACGAAAAUAACUAAAAAAAACUAAAAUUAUUGGCUAUUUUACCCUCUUUAAAUUAUUGAUAUUUUCUUAAAGUUCCUA
rnacentral:lncRNA from 1 species